rnacentral:rRNA from 1 species
UACGAACCGUGCGAACGUUGUUCGGAAUCACUGGGCUUAAAGGGCGCGUAGGCGGGCGGUCAAGUCAGAGGUGAAAUCCCACGGCUCAACCGUGGAAGUGCCCCUGAUACUGACUGUCUCGAGGGAGGUAGGGGCGUGCGGAACUUCCGGUGGAGAGGUGAAAUGCGUAGAUAUCGGAAGGAACACCGAUGGCGAAAGCAGCGCGCUGGACCUCUACUGACGCUGAGGCGCGAAAGCCAGGGGAGCAAACGGG